ACCGGGACAGGGGAGAUCCAAAACGGCUUCCUCCCCUCUUCACUUUCCUCGUCGGUAGCGACAACGCCGUUACCUACAAAACAAACAAAAACACAGCAAGCAAGUCUUUCUUUAUUUUCAAUCUGGCUUCUCUUCCUUCAAAUCUGCCAAGUCUGGAGCCGGGCGUGUGGAUGGCUGGAUCGGCAUCUUCCCUCCUCCCAUUUCAUUUCUGCAACGGCGGUGUUGUCCACCGCUGCCAUGGUUGUGGGAUCGGCGCCCAUCCAAGCUUCGGUUUUCUGCCCCUUCUUCACUGUCCUCUGGCCUCCCUUCUCAUUUCCUCGCCGUAUCCGUAAUGAGCUGCUGGGGAAGGGACGAUGCUGCUGUUGGCCGGUUGAUGGUGGUUGGCCGAGAGAGGGAGGCGCUGCUGUUUCUGGGGAAGAUGGGGGCGGCUGAGAGAUGAGGGGCUGCUGUGUUUGGCUGGUUGGAGAAGAAACGGCUGAGAGGGGUUAUGUGGGAGGAGACGGUGGAGAGGGAGUGUUGGCUUGCUGGGUUAUUGUUGCUUGUGGUCAGAUGAAGAGAUGAUCGGUGGCUGCAAUGGGUGAAGUGGAGGUCUGAUGGAGGUGGGGUCUUCGGGAGGCUGAGGAAGAAAAAAGGCUUUGAGGGGGCUGUCGGCUGUGUUUUGGCCGGUUGAGGGAGAAGAAGUGGGGGCCGACGUGCAGGGGAGGUGGUGUCGCUGGGAGAAGAAAAAAAUGGCUUCGGGGUGGAGCUGUGUGUGGGGAAGGAAGAAGAGAAAAAUCAAAAAACAAAGGGGUGGGGGGCUCCGGCGUUUUGCCUCUCGUGAGGGAGAAGAAGAAAAGUUUCAAACCUGGGGGUUGCUGGCGGCUCCUCUUCCAGUCAGGGAUAAAAAAAAAAAGCUUUUCUUAGGUUUUUUCUUUUGUGUUGCCUCCCCUAAAUUAGAAAAUCGCCCCCCCAUUUCUUUGAGUUUUCAACCUAUAUUUAUAGGUAAAAUGUUGUCCGGGUAUCAAAAUUGGUCCCUCAACUUUCUUUCUUUUUUGUAAAUUUUGGUUUUUUGUUGUUUUUUUCUUGUAUUUUUAAAAAUGAGCAAAAUCAACAUUAAUUCUAUGAGAAAAAUAAUGAUUUUAAAAUAACGCGUGAAAAGUCGAACGCGUUUGAAAAAACAAUUGAAAAUUAAACUUCUUUUUUUUUAGAAGACGUUGAAAAUGCUAAAAACAUUGCAAAUAUAUUAAAAACAUAUUUUUUUUGGAUUUUUUCGAAAAAUUUAUUAAAAAGGUGGGUCAAAAAUUGGGUAACAACAGAUGCCCCCUCUUUACAAUGCCUACGAAACAAAACUCCUCAAUGUUUUGCAUAAAGCUUUGUAAAGAAAAGAAAAAGAAAAUGAUCUUAUUAUCUUGGGCGACAUGCCCCUAUUUUCAGGGGCGACCGGCCCACACAAUCACACUGGUCUACUUUCACGGGCGACCUGCCCACACAUACUCAAAGUGGUCUAUUUUCAGGGGCGACCUGCCCACACACUCACACUGGUCUAUUUUCACGGGCGACCUGCCUACACAUACUCACUCUAGUCUAUUUUCAGGGGCGACCGACCCACACUCUCACACUGGUCUGUUUUCAGUGGCGACCUGCCCACACACUCACACUAGUCUAUUUUCACGGGCGACCUUCCCUUUUGAUUGGGUUUACCUAAGAUCCCAUCUGGCGAUCUAACAAGAACAAAAAUUGGUGUGUAGCUCGAUCAACCUGAAAUCCCAUCUAGUGAUUCUACGUGAUUAGGCUAAACUGAGAUCCCUUCGUCGAUCCCCUUUAACCAUAACCAAGGUCUGUGUGGUUAGACUGAACUGAGAUCCCUUCGCCGAUCCCCUUCAACCAGAACCAAAAUCCUUUCCAAUUAGGUUAAACUGAGAUCCCUUCGUCGAUCCCCUUUAACCAUAACCAAGGAAUGUGUAGGGUUGGGCUAGACUGAGAUUCCUUUCGGCAAUCCCCUCUAACCAGAACCAAAAUCCUUUCCAAUUAGGUUAAACUGAGAUCCCUUUGUCGAUCCCUUUAACCAUAACCAAGGAAUUGUGUAGUUAGACUGAACUGAAAUCCCUUCGUCGAUCCCCUUCAACCAGAACCAAAAUCCUUUCCAAUUAGGUUAAACUGAGAUCCCUUCGCCGAUCCCCUUUAACCAUAACCAAGGAAUGUGUGUAACUGAACUGGGAUCCCUUCGCCGAUCCCCUUCAACCAGAACCAAAAUCCUUUCCAAUUAGGUUAAACUAAGAUCCCUUCGCCGAUCCCCUUUAACCAUAACCAAGGAAUAUGUAGCUCGGUCAACCUGAAACCCCAUCUGGCGAUUCCCUUUAACCAAAGCUACAUGAGAUCCCAUCUGGCGACCUCAUUCAACUGGAACAAAAGAAUGUGUAAAAAGUGGUCAUUAUAAUGGUGACCUACCCAAGUGGAAAGGAGGAAGAGUGGUCUCAUUGUAUGGGUGACCUACCCAGGGAAAAAAUAUGAAGUGUGGUCUCAUUGUAAUGGGUGACCUACCCAGAUGGAAAAAAUGAUGAAGUGGUCUCAUUGUAUGGGUGACCUACCCAAUAAAAAAUGUGAAGUGCGGUCUCAUUGUAAUGGGUGACCUACCCAGAUGGAAAAAAAUGAUGAAGUGCGGUCUCAUUGUCAUGGGUGACCUACCCGGAUGGAAAAAAUGUGAAAACGGUCUCAUUAUAUGGGUGACCACCCAAUGGAAGAUGUGAUAUGACAAGUGUGAAAAAUAGGACUUACCUGGCGAAGUCUGAGGGAUGACAGAAGAAAGGGCUGGAAAACUUGGUGCUUCCUGAUAAUUCCCGAUCAUAGGGUUUGAAAACUCGGUGUUUCCUGACUGCAAGGGUUGAAAACUCGAGGCUUCCCGAUUGCAAGGUUGAUCUUUCAUUUCUUUGGGAUUUUCCUAAUGGUAGGGUUCAUCCCAUCGUCCUUUUAUUCCAUGAUCAAAAUCGAUUCUUUAUUAUCAUCACCACAAUGCUUCUUUCUUUUUCCACCAUCUUGCUGGACCUCAUUAAGGAUUUUCCUGUAACAAUUCAAAAAUAUGUGCAAAUGGUUUUUUUUUUUUUUUUUUGAGGUUAGAUGAUAUGCAUGCAUCCUUACCUGAUUUGAAAUAUAGGUCCCCCCUCUUUGAUGCUCCAUCGUCAUAGGGUGCCCUUGUUUGUAUCCCAAAGCUUUCUUUGUUCUUCCGAUGCAUUGGCUCAUUCAUGUGCUAGCCAUCCACUCAGCUGUAAAUGCAGUGCCCAUCCCGGGCUGUCUUCGACAAUUACUGCUUGCAUCGUUCAUCAAGCUUGACCCUGCCCCCAAGUGUGGUACUGCUUGAUUCAUCAUGAAGGAUUUUCUCUCCUGGCUUCUUCUGAGAAUUAUCCUCUGAUUGAUUGUGUGCAUCAUGCCAAUACCCAUCAAGAUUGUUAAUCAGUCAUGAACUUGCCUCUAGUUGAAACAGUACUCUUCAAGUACAUGUUAUCAUCAGCCUUCUUGGAACUCAUCAGUCAUCCAGACAUGCAUCUCAUAGCUUGCAGUAAAAGGCUCAUGGUUGUAUGCUCAGUGUCUUCUCAUAGAUUCCUUUCAACUCUUCUAAUCAGAUUGUGAAAAGAAAUGUCUCAGCUCAUCAAUGAUGCUGCUUUUAUCACCCAUACUCAUGCGGUGAAGCGCUCAUCUGGCUUCAGAACAAGUUGUCCCACAAUCAUUCUUCGAGGUGGGUGCCUUUUCGACAUUCAUUCAGUGCAGUUGUGUGAUAACAUCUGUCUAUAACCAUGUUUCAAAGAAUGACAAUAUGAGAUUGUCCUUCAAGUGCGGCAUUGUUCCAUAGUCAGUCUUGGUGGUGUGCAUCUUUUCACCAUUCAAUUACAUUCAUCUGUGUAUCUCAUCGAUCGCUAGCCAUGUUUCAAAAGAUGAUGAUAUGAAAGUGUCCUUCAGUACAUCCUUGUUUCUCCAUUGCCGACAGGGUUCACUAGAGCAUGGGCCAUUUUGGAAUGACAUUGCCCCCAGUAUGAUCUGAAUGUGCUCGUUCAUUGAUUAUCUGUCUUUGAACAUCAUUGUCUUCAGUUCACUGAUUCAUCAUUUAAACAUUGCCUCAUAGCUGAUCUGAGCAUUGCUUGUUUUUCCUUUUCAAGGUCUACUGUAUUGCCCCCAGUUGCUCAACCUUUCAAGGAGUGUCGAGGACUUCAAUGUCAUUUCUAUCAACGAUUUUGGAGACUCAAUCAAUGUUCUUUUAUGUCUGAUAAUCUUCCUUGUUUUGGAAUCAACUCAUCAUAUUUCAACGAUCAUGUCUGUUCAAAGUCUAGUUUGUUGAAAUGAAAUCAGAGAUGUCCUUUUUGAAAAUCUUUUGAAAAUCAAGUUUUUUUUUUUUUCAAAUACCCAACACACGUUAUUCGAAAUACACAGUCCUUUAAUUGUCAAUGCAUUUUAAAAAAGAAAUUGACCCAAUGUAGGAUUAAAAUGGCUUUUUCCAUGGUUCUUUGUAUCAAUUUGAAUCCUUGAUAUUGGGUAUAUCAUUUGAUAGUCUAUGAUGAGGUGACCUUUGCAUGAAUUUGAUAGUCAACACUUAGGCUUUAUCAAGAAAGGUUAUUUCUUUUCUUAGCACUUGUUUUAUCAGCAUGCAUAAUAACCAAUAGCUUAAUUCAAGAAGUCACGACCCUUAUGGAAAAGCUCUUCAAGUUUUGAGAGCGUCAUUUAUCGAUUCAAAUUGCUUGCUUGAUUAAAAAGGGCUUUUAAAAAGCACGUAAUGCAUGCUAUGGUUCAUGGCUAUGAAAGAAAAGAACUUCAAAGGCUCAAAAGGUGUUUGAGGGUUUCAAAGACCUAGGAUCAACAUCAAUUAUUCAUCAACUCUUUUAUAUUGUUGUCUUUGUAGAGGAAACGACAUAUAACCUUGUUAACCUCAAAGUUCAGACUUUUCUUAACAUAAGUCAUAAUGCAAAUCCACUUUCUUGAUGAAUAACCAACCUUAAUCAUCUGAUAACAUCAGGCUUUAUAAUGGAUACCAAAAGUCACGUUUAGCUUAGUCUUUUUUCUGGUAUUGACUUUUGUUGUGCCUUUCCUUGAUUGAAAUUUCUUUUGCUCUUCAUAGACUUGAUAGGCGUUCUCCUUCCUUUAUCUUUGACUUGUAUUUAAGUGAAGGCAAUUUCAACUUCCUUUUUUUUUCAUUCUUUUUUUUUUUAUAGCCUUCCUCAAAAUUUCUUAUAUGCCCCCAGUCUAUGUGUUUUCUUUUAGCUCUCUCUCAAUCAUUGGACCUUUAAGCCUUCCCUUUAUCCAUUAAUUAUAUCAAUGUCUCCAAAAUAUCUCUCAUUUGCCCCCAGUGUGGGGUGUGAUCCUAGUCAGGGUUUCUUUUUGAAAGAAAAUAUUUUCCAGGCUCAAAAUGGGACUGCAAGGGAUAUAAUCUUUAGAAAGUGAAGGGAUAUCAAAGAUGGCCUUUUCUCAUUUCAAGCAAGGUCGGUUAAACCGAUAAAUUUUGACCUCAUCCAGUGUAAUGAUUGGGACUUGUAAGAAUCAUGAUUCACGAGUCCAUAACUACCGAAUCCACUACAUGUCAUUAUGCAUACUGCUAAAACUUAGCUAUAUGAUGUGUGGUUCAGUUUCAGGAGGUAUGAGUUCAAAAUUGUUUGUCACCUCAUUUUUUCAAGCAUCGAGUCAUUUCUGUAAUCAAAACACUUUUAAUCUUCCGGAUUGAUUAACCUUUAUCGCAUGUUGGAGUUUGAUCAAAAUAUUUUGUCAGAAUAAAAUGCUAAACAUCUGUUGAUUUCAAAACAACAAAGAGACAAAAGCAAGGCAUGUUUCGUUGAAGGAUGAGAUGUGAUCCCAAAACAAAAUGCAGAAUUCCAUAAAAUAUGAUUGACUGUUCAUCACCAUUCUUGAAUCAGCUUUUCUGGCAAUAUCUGUGUUUUGCCAAGCAUUCUCGAUCACAUGUCAUUCUGAAGAUGUUCGGGGAAUAAUAUAGCCAAUGACACCCUCCUUCACUGACUCCACUUGUCUCUUGCUCACUAACUUUUAGACUCAAUUCUUGCAAUUCUUGCAACUGUUCACUUGAAAUGGUUGAGAACCCCACCAUGACAUCACAUCUCUUGUCUGGAUUAUACCACCUAGAAAACGGUGGUUGCAUGGGAUUUUUCGGAGUCAAGCAAAAUUCUGGAAUCUGACAGAUGUUGGUCGACAAACUUAAACGGCAGAGGAAUGUCCCAUCUUGGCAAAGACAUUUGAGCAAUUGAUGCUAUCGUGAGACCUGGCUAUACCACAUAAUUAAGGGUUCACACCGUCAAAGUCAUCUCCUGAUUCACCUCUCAUCAUUGUUCUGAAUCCAUGGCAGAUCCUUCAAUCUUUCCUCUCUUCAUAGCUUGUUUAAUUCUUCGGCAAAUCCUCACAACCUCAUUUCAAUCUUCCAAUGUUGUUGUGGUUGGUUGAGGAUUGUUUAGAAAACUUUCCAACAACUUGGUAAUCUUGGCAGCGCCCAGAAACUUGUAGUAUCGCCACUACUGACACGUGGAAUCAUGCCUUAUCUCUUCUAUGGGAGAAGCUGAUGGACAUGAAUCUCCUUUAUUUCUUCUUUGAUUCCUCUCGAACGGUGCAGCAAACAAGCACCAUUAGAGGGAGUUCUGCUCUGUUGAAGUUUCAGUCUUCUUCAUGUUUUUCAGUCUAGGCAUGUCUCUUCUUCUACUUUUGCGUUUUAAUACUGACACUGUUGGAGGAAAAUCAUGAUGAUCUGAAACUACUGUAUUCCUUCUUGGAUUUCCCACUUGCGAUCCACAAAGAUUCCUGCGAGAGAUCUGCACGUUGAAGUUUGAUGUCUGCUCAAUGUUUUCAACCAAAUCUGGCUCUUCAACCUGCUACAGUUUCUUCGUGCUGAAACUGAUGAGAGAAAUAUUUGUAGCAUAUGCAAUUAGUAAAUCCUCUCUUGCACUCUCAACUUGCAGCAUCAUAAACAGAUUUUUGUAGAGAGAGCUCUGCCACGUUGAAGUUCGACGACUACUCAUAUUUUCAGACCAGGCCUGACUCCUCUGCCUAGUACAAUGUUUUGCUCGUGCCACUGGUAGGAAAAAGUUUCAAAGCAUAUGUAAUUAAUACAUCUCCUUUUGCAUUUUCCAUUGGCAGAUCCACCAAUAAAUCUCUACAGAGAGAGCUCUACCACGUAGAAGUUCAGUGUCUAAUCAUGGUUUUUCAGACCAACACCUUGUGCUGCUGAACUGGAAUUGAGCUCAUAAUUGGGGUAACUUCAAAGCAGACUAAUGCACCAUGAACAUGAGGCUAGUAGUCGUUUGAUUCCAUUAAAUGAUGUAGAGGCGAUGAACACUUAACAGUGCAACUGGAUAAGAACCAGAGUUGUCAUUAGUUGAUGACUGAAGGCAUUGUUGCUGUUGUUCAUGACUAAAAAGGAGAGAUACAACUUCAAUUGGACGUGAACAAAUAGUGUUCCCACAGAAGACUGUGCAUACAUUCUCUUUCCAUUUGAUGCUCAACACUUGUUCGAGCAGAUCUGAGUCUAGCUACUUCACCUUUGAUGCUUCUGACCUCAAUAUGAUAAUGAGCCUCUAUCUGACAUCUUUCUUUGCUCCCAUCAUCUUUCUUCAAUCACGUGCAGCACAGCUUGUGCGGGGGACCUACCUUUCAACCCGGUACAUGCAUGAUAAAUGUAUGAAUAUGUAAUUUAUAUGACGAACUCGCAACUCUUGUAUGAUGAAACAAGAAUCUUGAUUCUUGCACAAACUCUACAAUGAAAAUUUUCUGAGCGACGGUCAUUGUGUCACCCAUAAGUCUGGAGUUCAAGAUGCUUCAAGAAGGGCUUGCUCGGAUGCAAAACAAAUAUUUACGGAGCAUACAUCCUACAGGCAGGUUCUAAUCUUGUUAAGUGAGAUAAAAGGUAGGUUUACUAUUUGGUCUCUAAAAAAGGGGCUCUCGUUGUCCUAGUGAUCGCCCUCUUGAAGGAAAUAUAGGGGCUUGUAGGCAAUGAGAUGGCACGUGUACCAACCAUUACCAGUCUAAGCACUCAACGAAGAGUUGGGGUUUACACAAACUUAAACCUUGACUAAAAGUCGUAAGGUAAGCUGCUAGUCCCCCUCCUAACCUGAAGCUUGUGUUUGCUUUUAAAAAAUUAACUAUGUGAUGCAUGAGAUAAUUCUACAAAAUGCAUGGAUAAAACAAAAAUAAAAAAACACAAAAAUGCAAAAACAUAAACACAUAAAAUACACAAAGCUUAGUCCAAUAAUGUUAGAAACAGUACCGUCCCUAGUGGAGUCGCCAUUCUGUCGCACGUCGAAAAAUCCACGCGCGCCAUCGGCUGGCGAUUAUUCGUUCUGUUUUGCUGAUUUGGUUCUUUGGAGUCACCACCUAGUAAUUCAUUGAGGGCUACUAGGAAACCUGAUGUACUGGUAUUGUCAGAGAUCGCGGGCAAGGGACUGGUUGUGGUUAGGGAAGGUAUUAGCACCCCUAACGCACCCUACCUGAGGUAAGCUGCUUUGUGGACUUGAUGUGUUAAAAAAGUUUUAAAAAUUAUGUUCUUUCAUCGAAUUUUAGAAAAUACAACUUACAUGUAAGUUCAUAAUUCUUUAUCCGUGAUCAAAUCAGAAUAUUAAAUUCUUUUUUAUUCUUGCAAUUUUAUCAUAAUAAUAAAAAAAAAACAUUCAUAAACAAAAAUACACACAACAUUCACUUUCAAGCUUCGUGGACUUGAUGUGAUAUUAAAAACAAAAUUUUAGCCCAAUUCUAAAGCUUUGAUAAAUCAGUUAUUACUUUUCCAGACUAUAUUUAGAUACAUGUUCUACAUUUCCAUGGAAAAUUCAACAUGAUUUUUAUCUGUCCUUUAGAUAUUUGUGCAUAUAAAUUAAAUUCCUUUUUUUAUUAUUCAAUAACAUACAUAAAAAAAAAUACAAGCACACACAAACAUUUCCUGUUUUUUAUUUAUCACUUUCUCUUUUCUUUUACAUCCCCAUUUCCAUAAUACAAAUAAAAAAAAUUCAAAACCAAAUAAAAAAAUUACAUCAAACAAAUUUUAAAUUACAAAACAACCCCUAAAAACUCCAGGAAUUGCAGGGGAGCCCUCCAUGCAUGCCGAAACAGUGCCGGCACGUCUGGUCCAUGCGCUGCCGCCACGAAAAGACCAGGACAGGGGAGAUCCGAAACGGCUUCCUCCCCUCUUCAUUUUCCUCGUCGGCGGCGACAACGUCGUUACCUACAAAACAAACAAAAACGCAGCAAGCAAGUCUUUCUUUAUUUUCAAUCUGGCUUCUCUUCCUUCAGAUCUGCCAAGUCUGGAGCCGGGCGUGUGGAUGGCUGGAUCGGCAUCUUCCCUCCUCCCAUUUCAUUUCUGCAACGGCGGUGUUGUCCACCGCUGCCAUGGUUGUGGGAUCGGCGCCAUCCAAGCUUCGGUUUUCUGCCCCUUCUUCACUGUCCUCUGGCCUCCCUUCUCAUUUCCUCGCCGUAUCCGUAAUGAGCUGCUGGGGAAGGGACGAUGCUGCUGUUGGCCGGUUGAUGGUGGUUGGCCGAGAGAGGGAGGCGCUGCUGUUUCUGGGGAAGAUGGGGGCGGCUGAGAGAUGAGGGGCUGCUGUGUU
rnacentral:lncRNA from 1 species